rnacentral:rRNA from 1 species
CCUACGGGAGGCAGCAGUAAGGGAUAUUGGACAAUGGGGGAAACCCUGAAGCAGCAACGCCGCGUGAGGGAAGACGGGUUUCGGAUUGUAAACCUCUGUCCUCUGUGAAGAUGAUGACGGUAGCAGAGGAGGCAGCUCCGGCUAAAUACGUGCCAGCAGCCGCGGUAAUACGUAGGGCGCGAGCGUUGGCCGGAUUUACUGGGGGUAAAGGGUGCGUAGGCGGGUUGGCAAGUCUGUAGUGAAAGCCAUGGGCUUAACCCAGGAACUGCUAUUGAAACUGUCGAGCUUGAGUGAAGUAGAGGUAGGCGGAAUUCCCGGUGUAGCGGUGAAAUGCGUAGAGAGCGGGAGGAACACCAGUGGCGAAGGCGGCCUACUGGGCUUUAACUGACGCUGAGGCACGAAAGCGUGGGUAGCAAACAGGAUUAGAUACCCUUGUAGUC